GGGUCUUGUAGAUGACCUGGAGCCAGUGGGUUUGGCGAUGAUUAUGAAGCGAGGGCCAGCCAACGAGAGCGUACAGGUCACAGUGGUGGGUAGUAUAUGGUGCUUUGGUGACAAAACGGAUGGCACUGUGAUAGACUGCAUCCAGUUUAUUGAGUAGGGUAUUGGAGGCUAUUUUGUAAAUGACAUCACCAAAGUCAAGAAUCGGUAGGAUGGUCAGUUUUACGAGGGUAUGUUUGGCAGCAUGAGUGAAGGAGGCUUUGUUGCGAAAUAGGAAGCCAAUUCUAGAUUUAACUUUGGAUUGGAGAUGUUUGAUGUGAGUCUGGAAGGAGAGCUUACAGUCUAACCAGACACCUAGGUAUUUGUAGUUGUCCACAUAUUCUAAGUCAGAACCGUCCAGAGUAGUGAUGCUGGACAGGCGGGCAGGUGCAGGCAGCGAUCGGUUGAAGAGCAUGCAUUUCGUUUUACAUUUAACGUAACAUAACCUGUAAAGUUUUUAUACACGAGAACGUUACAGUCCUGGAAAUUCAAGAACAUGAAUUGGGUGUGCUGAAAAUGUAAAUGUAGCAAGUUAGCAAGCUAACUUAGUUGUGUGGGUAGGGAAGGCUAGCUAAUGUGAUUAACUAACUAGCAUACGUAACUGGCUAGCUAGUUGGUCCGCAGUAGCUUGCCAAUUUGGUCUCAACUACUUACACAUUGGCUAACAUUAGCUAAUCAGCUGUUUUCUAUCGGGUAACAUUGGUUAACAUUAGCUAAUCAGCUGUUUUCUAUCGGGUAACAUUGGCUAACGUUAGCUAAUAUUAGUAGCUAACGUUAGCAGCUAACUAGCAAGCAUGGAUGGUGAAAGCAGGCCAACUCUCGCCGGUUAGCUAGCUAGCUGGCUGGCUAGCCGUUUGCAAGCUAACUCGCCAACUAUAGCUUGAUAAUGCUUUAGCUAGAUCGUUUUUGUCAAUCAACUAAGAUUUUUUUUUUUUUUCAACUCACCGUUCUUGGUUUGCGCUGAAGUACCUCCUUGGGUAUAAAAUUGGUUUCCUCGUCCCUCUCCGCUGUAGACAGUCCGCAGCAGCGUUGCUACACGAGUGAAUUGAUUGGUCAGAACGAAUAACCAACUUUCCCGCCUGGCUCGUGAUUCUUUGAAAAGUUCUCUUCCGUUGUCGAGUCUAUGGGUCAUGUGACAUGGGACAUAUUUAAAAAUAACAGUAUCUUAAAACCGUUGACAACUCCGUGUCGUUUUUUUGAAAGCAGAAUGGCGCAUUUGCCAUGGUACUUCAUGCCCGGUGUACACUAGCAGAAGGAGCGGCGCGGUGAAACACCGCUUCCCAUUCAUUUUCAAUGGAAGGAAAGCUGUGAGGGCGGUGCGAACAUGGCAUGGGAGGCGGAGAGAACAUGGUGUGGGAGGCGGUGAAAAAUAUGAACUUUUCGCAAAUUUAUGCAAAUCACCAGCGGCGACCGCUGGGCGAUGACCAAUCAUAUCAAGUGGCUCCCAUGACAAAUUUGAUGCUAUGUGACUGAAGGCUGGAGACUUUCUUCAGCAAAGAUGGCUAGGAUGGAAGCAAAUGUGAUUAUAAUGUCAUAACGAAUCAUGCAAAAAAAAAUGUACAGUUGAGAGGAAUAUGUUAGUUAAUAUAGAGACAAAUGAUUAUGCAUAUUUUUUUUUUAUCAUAAAGUUAAUUUAUGAAAAUUGUGAUUUAGCAAGCUAGCUGACUAGCUAACAUUAGCCAGCUAGCUGGCUAGCUUUAUGGUGUUGUGACACUAGUAUGAAAUUGUAAUUCUGGUUGUUUCAUGUUUUAGGGAUUCCUGAAACACUAGUAUGAAAUUGUAAUUCUGGUUGUUUCAUGUUUUAGGGAUUCCUGAAACAACCAGUAAACCAAGCUGUCAUCUUGUGAAACAAUGGAUGUAAAGAAUCUAGCUAGCUAAAGCAUUUACUGCAAAUUGAGUGUAC
rnacentral:lncRNA from 1 species